UACGGAGGGUGCAAGCGUUAUCCGGAUUCACUGGGUUUAAAGGGUGCGUAGGCGGUUCCGCAAGUCCUGUGUGAAAUCUUCGGGCUCAACUCGAAGUCUGCACGGGAAACUGCGGGGCUUGAGUGUGGCAGAGGGAGGUAGAAUUCCACGUGUAGCAGUGAAAUGCGUAGAGAUGUGGAGGAAUACCGAUGGCGAAGGCAGCCUCCUGAGCCAACACUGACGCUCAUGCACGAAAGCGUGGGGAGCAAACAGG
rnacentral:rRNA from 1 species